CUGAUGAGGUUUGGGCAGAUAGUAGAGUUACAUGUAUGUUGUAUUUCAAAACCUUAAACCGCAAGUCUCCACAGCUUUCUUUCUUUGUCCCUGCUAAUGACCCCCUUCAGGUAGUAUAUUAAUCAUAUUCUAGGCUGAAUUCGCUGGAGUGUUUCAAGCAGAGCCUGGGGAGUGAGUGUCCAGGCUUUUCAAUCAGGUCUGGAACUAGCUCUUAAUGUUAAUCUAGAAAAUGGCUGAGAAGUGCCCCAAGAUGAAUCUACUGGUUGAACUCCCUUCUGAAAUCUGAGUCAUCACCACUGGCUGAGGGGAAGGAAGGGCUCGUGGCAUGACAGGCCACCUCAAAGCUUGUGUAAGAACCUUGUGACCCACGGCUGUGUCAGAACAAAAACAACCAGCGGUCUUCUCACCCCCGCAGCCCAGAACUCUUGAUUCCUAGGGAUCAUCUGAUCCCUGGAGAACUUAAUCUUAUCCCUAAGUGGUAGAAGGGUGGAUCUUUGUGAAUGUCUUACUUGAAGAGUUUCGAAUGCUGGUUUAAAAGAAUGAACUCCCUCCCCAGCUAAGAUCAGGCCCAUGGAAUUCUGUGAGCUUCAGUUCUUCCGCCUGGGUCAUGGUGUUGGCUGCACUUGGAGAAGCCCUGCUCAAAGUGCAGGAUACAACUGAGGAAAAAGUGGCUUUUCCAAUUAAAGAAUGACGCUAGCUUCUGGCUACUUGUCUCUUUUACUUUAGCACACUCUACUGACAGAAGUAAAAGCAUUUGGACUACUUAUUUUCCAUUUUCCAUCCCCCACCCUUGUCUACUCUGCUCUACACCCUGGGAGGCCAACCUCUGAUGGAGAGCAUGGGAGGGUGGGAGGAAGGAGAAUCCAGAUUGUUAAUCCCCUGCUCACUCCCCAUUCCAGAGGGAUGUUCCCAGGCUAACCAGUCAGCUCUUCACUCCUGGGCUCAGGGCCAUCUUUUCUAAGUAAGAAAAGGUGAGAAGGUGGCAGUCCCACGCACCCAGACCUUCCCUCGGGGGCCUUCUUUCUGCACACAGUAGGUCCUUGCUGCGGGAACAAUGAGAGGCAUGUGGCCCACAUUCACAUGGCCUCAAGCAAAGUUGUGAAGUUCCAGCUUUUUCCUUUCUGGGAGCACUUCUUAUGUUUUUCAGCUGUUCUCAACUUUAAGCUUUGCUUUCUUAGCAAAACCUCUCCUGCAAAGAUCUUGAGAAUUCAUUCCCAUUAAAGUGCAGAUAACUAACUAUCCUUGCUGCCCUUCUCCUGGUAAAUUUUCUUUUAAAAACUAAGUCCAAAGGAUGAACCUGUAAACGUAGAAUUUCAAAGACUAGUGGAAUUGAGUGUGGGAUUCAAUUUCCAGUCUUCUGAAAUCAUUCCUAUGCAUUCAACCUACUAGCCUUUAUAAGAGGAGGGUGCAUUUAAAUGUGGUGAACAAAGCAUAAUGCAUAAACUUGUCCAAUAACUAUGUUGUACACCUGAAAAAAUGUAGCAUUGUGUGUCAGCUAUACUCAAGUAAUAAAAAAAUAAAGUGCAUGGAGGAGAUACUAAUUCUAGGCUUCCAGUGCUCAUAGUGAAAGUGCUCUGGGCCAGGAAGGGGCAGAAGAGAAGCACUGAAAUAGAGAUGUUAGUAGAUGUGGUAAGAAGGCAGAUGGAGGCUAAGUGUCCAGAGUUUCAGAAUUCAGAAGAGCUAUCUUGCUGUCUUUUGACCUCAGUCCCAUUCCUUCCCCCACCCCCCAGCCACUCUCUCACCAGCAGUGACACCCUCUUUACUCCAGAACAAGUCUGGGUCUGGAAAAUCCUAAUGGUGGCAGAAGGGAUCUGCAAGAAAAGUCUGGGCCCCCAGAACUCUGUGUUUCAUAUGCAUUUUAGCAUGACUUCAUUGUCCCACAUCGAAAGGUAGACUACAUGUUAGAGGCCAGGGACCACGUGUCUCCUUCGUCCUGUAGCUCUUGUACAUAGUUCAGUGCUUUGCACAUAGUGGGUGCUCAAGAGAUGCGAGUUGACUACAUGGACGCAUUACCACACUGAAUUCUCACAAGAACUUUGUGAGGUACCCCCUAUUAUCAUUCCCAUUCUGUAGAUGAGGCAGCUGGAACUUCAUCGGGUUAAAAAAUCUGCCCCAGGUUACGCAGUUGGUGAGGCACAGAGCUGGUGUACUAGUCAGUUCUGACUGACUUUAUGGCCAGACUCCAAGCCAGCGCACUUGACUGCAUUUAGACAAUACCGAUUUGAGCAAAGUUGGGGGGGGGGGGCGCGGUGCUGUAGCCCCAUCUUGGUAGUGAUUCUCUCAUGGAAGAAUUUUUGUAACCCUGAAAAUCUUUAUGUACAUUUCUUUAUAUUCUUUAUAUUUUCCCUCCUGGUUAGGUUAACAUUUAAUGAAGUUUGUGGAAUUCAAAAAGCUGCUGCUUUUACGAGCCGUGUGGGAAAGGGAUGCAGGGGUCACGCCUCACCACACCAGGAAAUCCUUCUCUCAGUAAGUUGAAGGCAGUCACAGGUUUCCAUGAUCUUGUGAGAGGAGAAUGCCAUGGGUCAUACUGAACUCAUGUUCCUCGUUCCUGAUUAAGUGUCCUCUAGAAACCUUCUAGCAUGCAUUCCGGUUGAUUACCCCUUACCAAUGUUAUUGUACUCAUCAUGGGUGCAACCAGAAGUUCACAGAGCCAAACCAAUGGGAGCUGUUGGGGAAAUAUAAUUAAAAUCAAAUCUCCUGCCAACCCAGAAAACCUCUCCACAAAGGUAGUAGAGAAAGAAAACAGUUUCCUUUUUUAAAAAAAGGUUUUUUUAAUGUUUAUUUUGGAGAGAGACAGACAGAAUGCGAGUGGUGGAGGGGGUAGAGAGAGAGGGAGACACAGAAUCUGAAGCAGGCUCCAGGCUCUGAACUGUCAGCACAGAGCCCGACACGGGGCUGGAACUCACGGACUGCAAGACCAUGGCCUGAGAAGUCAGAUGCUUAACCAACUGAGCCACCCGGGCACCCCAAGAAAACAGUUUUCUUACUGAAUAAGCAUUCAACCAGAAUGUGAUGUGCAUCAUAGGCAAUUGGCUAGAGAUUGCAAAGACAAGAAGGAAUCUCACUCUUUUAGACGGCUAGGCAGUCACACAACCUAUUACCGACAUAAUAACCAGUCCUCAAGUUAGAGGACUUAACAGCACCAUUUGUCACUCAAGGUUCAUCCUAGAUUUACCUGGUAAUUGGGGUCACCAUCUGUUAGGUAAUUGGCUUUAACCUAAAGAGAAACAAACUUCUCAGAUCUUUAUGACAGGAGGUGGUUUUGCAACUUGGAGGGAGGCACCUGCCCAGUUAGGCUCCUACCCUCCUACAGAGACUGAGAGAUAGGUCCCGUCUCCCUUGAUGAUGACAUUUCAAAGGGAUUGGUCCCAGAUCAUGGAGAAAGACGUUCCUGAGUCCUAAAGCUGGCAACAGCCUUAGCUUUUUAAAAGGAUUUACAUACAUUUCACAGGGUACCUGGGUGGCUCAGUCAGUUAAGCGUCUGCUCAGGUCAUGAUCUCGUGGGUUCAAACCCCGUGUCGGGCUUUGUGCUGACAGCUCAGAGCCUGGAGCCUGCUUUGGAUUCUGUGUCUCCCUCUCUCUCUCUGCCCCUCCCCUGUUCCCGCUCUCUCUCUCGCUCUCAAAAAUAAAUAAACAUUAAUAAAAAAUUUUGAAAAGGAUUUACAUACAUUUCAAAGAGAUGGAGGAAAGAACUUACAAAUUGUCUGAAGUAAAUGCUCUAAGAAAAGGGAUGCAGGGAGACAUCUCUUAUUUUCAACAGGGACAGUUAAGCUUCCUAUUUUGAAUUUGUAUUUGCCCUCACAGGCAGCAUAAGUUGGCCUCUCUACCUCCUGUUCAUUCAGGGACUCUCCCAUCUUGUGCCAGGCUCUGCAGAAAAAGGCACAUGCUCAUCAUUCAUAGCUCAUUCAUAGCUCAUCAUUGCUUUUUGACUUCCAUCUGUCUGAAGGCUGGGCCUGGGGCUUCUGGAAGGGAGUGCCCCACCCCCAUUCUCCACUCACUCUGCCAAGUUGUGUCAUUUUGGUUCUGAGGAAGGUGCAAGUCUUGUGUGAGGGGACCUCACCACCCCACCUGAGGUUGGGGCAGGGACACUUGAAGUGUCGAUGUGUGUUUUAAAUCCUUGAGGACAAGAAGGAAAGACAGGGUCCUGGAUCACCCACAUGCGGGGCAUGGGUGCCUGGUCCACACGGAGGGACACAACUACCCCACCUCAGCAGUAGGAGGCACAUGUUGUAGACCAGUGAGGACGGACCACUGAAAACCACAACAUAGCAGAACCGAGUCAAAACCAAACCCUGCAGCUCACUUGGCAAAGGAUGGAUUCUGACCAAGGGAGGAAGGAGAAAACCCUUCCAAAUCGGUGAGCCAGAAAGGGAGAAACUCAGCCUCACGUUCAGAUGGGUAAGCAGCUCUCCAAACUAGAACAGUUCUCCCUGUACACAGUGUUACAGAAAGAGAAAGACCAGAGUCAUUUUAAUAUAAGAAAAUAGACACCUGCUGUUCUGCAUGUAGAGCUACAUCUGCUGGCACACGUUCCUGCUCCUUCACUCGCUCUUGGGGACUAGUGGGAGGCUGACGGAUCUGAAAGGUGCGGGACAAUUGGAACAGGCCAAACACCUCUCAGGUUUCUCAUGGAAGCCAUGUGUUAAAGAUAGUGGGACCACAAAACAGAAGGAAACUUGGUCCCUGAAUCAUGUCUUGGAGGACAGCUUUGUGCCUGUUAAGAAAAUCCUUCUGGAUUUUCUGUAACAUCACCUUCAAUAUUCUAAACCAAUGAGAAUAUUCUUACUAUCCUCCUCAGCACCCUGGUGUCAUUCCAAGAAGUCACCGAGAUACAUUCUAAUAUCCAGAGGACCAAUCCUGCUUCACAGUCAAUCGCAGCCAAAAUUCUAGCUCCCUAGAAGACGAAAGACCUCAUAAUUCCUACCAGAAGCUGGUGGCUUCCUAAACGAACCAUGUUGCUCCUGGUGGUGUUGCCAUUGCUAACAAUAAAAGUGUAUUUUAUGCAGAAGGUGAUCUUAUGGAGGAGUGACAUAGACACUCACGAGAGGUGCUGUGCUUGGAAGGGUCUCAUGCUGGUCUAGGGAGCAGAGUGGGUUUAUCUCUUUAUGCCAUCUGUUCAGCGUAGCAUCUGCCUGAAUGCAGGGGAAGAAAUCAAUCAGCAGAGUACUUUACUACUUUAGUCAGGACCAAGAUACUUGUUUGCUUAUUUAUGUGUUCUUGGGGUGAUGGAAAAAAGGAAUUAGAACAAAAAUUAUUUUCCAAUUCUCCAUUGCCACUUCUCUCAAUCUUCCCUCCUCCUUGUUUAUGCCAUGUUUAUUUAUCCCAGCCACAAGAACAGAAAUUAUCUCCAAAGUAGGUGGCUCAGUAAUAAUUGAGGUUGUAAAACUCAUUGUGACUGAUCAUGUUUACCUGUUUGGUUAUCUAAUUAAAUUCAAGGUGGACUCUCUCUUUAG